UAGGUUGGUGCAAAAGUCAUCACGGUUUUUGCCAUUAAAACCGCGAUGAGUUUUGCACCAACCUA
ensembl:miRNA